AGUCUGGAAGGAGGUGAGGGCGGGCAUUUUCCUCUCGGGGGCCCCACUGAGGUUAGCGCAGGGUGUGUUCUGGAAUCGCAGGUUCUAGAAGGCUGGGAGCUGCCGCCCCAGGUGCCGCCCAUUUCCACCAUCUCCCCCCACCCACCCGGGGUCCGCACGAUUUAUGGCCUUUGACAGGUGGCCUCGAGCUUAGCAAGGGUGAGCCAUCGAUGCAGUUGCACUCAGGGUCUCGUAGGGCUUGGUUCGAAGCUCUGCUGUCACAUUCCUGAAGUUUGUAACCCCUGUGUAGCUGGUACUGCCCUAGGAGACCGUAUACAUACUGAUAGCCUAAUGAUUGAAGGAGAAAUUCGGGAAAGGGAUCGCGUAUCCAGGAGGUAGAGCCUGUCUGCCAGGCAGUGGGGACCUCAAGAUCUGGAAUGUGGGUGGAUGCCCAGUGUGUACAGGAGGCUCCAGGAGGGAGUCAGAACACUGGAAGACAGGAACAGAAGGAUCAGAAAUUCAAGUCCAGCUUUGGAUAGAUGGCGCCAAGGCUAGCCUGGGCUACAUGAGAUCCUGUGUAAACUGCCCUCCCCCCCAAAAAAA
rnacentral:lncRNA from 1 species